GGCGGUGUGCCUAACACAUGCAAGUCGAGCGAGAAAGUCCUUUCGGGGAUGAGUACAGCGGCGAACUGGUGAGUAAUAUACGAGUAUCUGCCCUUUAGUGAAGGAUACCUUCGAGAAAUCGGAGUUAAUACUGCAUACGUCCCUUCGGGGAGAAAGGUGGCUUUAUGCUGCCGCUUAAGGAUGAGCUUGUACGCUAUUAGCUUGUUGGUAAGGUAAAAGCUUACCAAGGCUUUGAUGGCUAGCCGGCCUGAGAGGGUGUACGGCCACAUUGGAACUGAGAUACGGUCCAGACUCCUACGGGAGGCAGCAGUGGGGAAUAUUGCGCAAUGGGCGAAAGCCUGACGCAGCGACACCGCGUGGAGGAUGAAGGCUUUAGGGUCGUAAACUCCUGUUAGAUAGGAAGAAAAGUUUUACUUAUAAUACAAGUACCAAAAAUGACUGUACUGUCAGAGAAAGCACCGGCUAACUUCGUGCCAGCAGCCGCGGUAAUACGAGGGGUGCUAGCGUUAUUCGGAAUACUGGGCGUAAGGGUGCGUAGACGGCGUACUAAGUUUGUUGUUAAUUUCCUCGGCUUAACCGAGGGUCAGCAAUGAAAACUGGUAUGCUAGAGGAUGAGAGAGAGAAGUGGAAUUCCCGGAGUAGCGGUAAUAUGCGAGAUCUCGGGAGGAACACCGAUGGCGAAGGCAGCUUCUUGGCUCAUUCCUGACGUUGAGGCACGAAAGUGUGGGGAGCAAACAGGAUUAGAUACCCUGGUAGUCCACACCGUAAACGAUAAUCACUAGACGUCAGUCCGGCUUGCUGGAUUGGUGUCGUAGCUAACGCGUUAAGUGAUUCGCCUGGGGAGUACGAUCGCAAGAUUAAAACUCAAAGGAAUUGACGGGGGUCCGCACAAGCGGUGGAACAUGUGGUUUAAUUCGACACUACGCGAGGAACCUUACCUGGACUUGACAUGCAUGUGCUCACUGUAGAAAUACAGUUUUUCGAACUUUGUUUGGACGCAUGCACAGGUGCUGCAUGGCUGUCGUCAGCUCGUGUCGUGAGAUGUUGGGUUAAGUCCUUUAACGAGCGCAACCCCUGCUAUCAGUUGCUAUUUACCUUCGGGUAAAGCACUCUGGUGGGACUGCCUGGGAAACCAGGAGGAAGGUGGGGAUGACGUCAAGUCAUCAUGGUCCUUAUGUCCAGGGCUACACACGUGUUACAAUGGUCAGUACAAAGGGCUGCUACUUUGUAAAAAGAAGCGAAUCCCAUAAAGCUGAUCUAAGUUCGGAUUGAGGUCUGCAAUUUGACCUCAUGAAGUUGAAAUCGCUAGUAAUCGCGCAUCAGCAACGGCGCGGUGAAUACGUUCUCGGACCUUGUACACACCGCCCGUCACACCAUGAAAGCUGUUUGUACCCAAAGUCUCUUUAGCUAACCCGUAAGGGAGGCGGGGGCCUAAGGUGUGGAUGGUGAUUGGGGUGAAGUCGUAACAAGGUAACC
rnacentral:rRNA from 1 species